UCAAAUCACACAAACAAACAAAUUUCAACUAUGAUGUAAUUAUUAUUUUACAAAAAGUUUUAUCUUUUUUUUUCCCCUCAAGCAGCAACACGCUUAUUAACAAAAUGAGAGAGAAAAAAAUUGAAUUACUUCAUCUAUAUCAUAGUUUCUACAACUCAGCCAUAAAAUUUUCAUAUAUUGUUUUUAAUUUUUUAAAUAUCGUCGAACACGGCUCUCAUCACAGCAAUAAGGAUUCAAAUUUUUUUUUUUUUGGGUAAUUUCAGAAUCUUUACAAACCCUGGAUCUCAAACAUCAAAUCUAUUCAACCAAUAAACGAGCGAUUGGGUGCGAGAGGACUCACCGCAACGUGUCCGGCGUGGCGUUUGGCUUUGGGAGAGGAGGAGAACGACACGAGACGACGCGCGGAGUUUGCUAGGUGCCGAGAUUUGAAUGUAAAGACGACAGUGCUGGUUGUCUCUUGACUUUCUGUGCGUGGAGCAGUGCGGGACUGAUCUGGACCGUCGAUUUUAGCCAGAUGAUCGUUUCCUCCGGGUCCCGCUCUCGCCAGGUAGUGUUAGCAAUAGUUAGAGGAUAGCCGUCAGUCACGACUCAUGAGGACGACAUGCCGUUUAAACAGUAGCUAACACUAUAAUCUCACAGAUGAUCUUAUCAUUCAGAUCCCUGAUCUAUUUCUUUUUUAUAAAUUAUAAUCAAAGCACAUAUAGCUUGUCUAAUUGUAUUAAAUAAAUCUGUACGGUUAAUUUUCCACAAAUACCUUUACCGCAUCAUCUUAUAUGUUUUGAACUGAUUACUGAUUAAUAUGUAUUCCGGUGAUUAUAAGAAAUUCAACAAUAUGAUAGGAAUUUCAAGUAAAAUUACAUGCUACAAACUUAGAAUAUAAAGUUUACAUAUUUUAUGAUUAACAACAAAAGCCUAACUGAUAAAUAUCAGGUGAUAAUCAUAUGAUACAGAAUAAUUACAAUAAAUACACCAUUAAUUAGGAUAUAUGCGUGGGUAGAUGAGAUACUCCACCUUGUGUUUGAAGGUUAGUGACUUACCAUCUAAAAAAGGAUUCGAAUAGCAAAUAUUCUUUUACGGAUGCUCGUUGUUGCUUACGACAACAACCAGCUUAAACUUCAUCUGAAAGUUCACAAAUGUUAGGCAACAAAUCAAAAUUAGCUAAUAAAAACACAUAUUACAAAGGACAAUGCGCAUUCAUACAGUUUGGAUUUGGCUCAGAGAACUUUCUUUUAGGUCACGUGGGCAUCAAUUAAGUAUGUCACUCAUCAAUCGGUUAAGUUCUACCAUAUGACAAAUAUGUCCCAUGACGCAAAAACAGCACACAAAAAGCUAGUUUGAUCCAACAACUUUAUUCCCCCCUUUCAACUCUUUUUUUUUUUUUUUGGUUUUUGUUUUCGUCCAGAAACAAAAAUAAAAUAAAAAUAAAGUCCAAAGAUUCAACUUGUCACUCUCAAAACCCUCGAUCGCUAAGCCCAAUACUUUACCACUUCAAUGGCCUCUCACAAUCACCACCACCACCAUCACCAUCACCAGCAGCAGCUGAACUGCGCUGGAGGCACCACCAACUGUUGCUGCAGCAGCUGUUGCAGCCACCCUUCUCCUCAGCCAACGGAGCCACUUCUCCAAGCCAUUGCCUCUCAACUCUUCCAACAACAACAGCACCAGCAACAGCCAGGUUGUAAGCAUACUUUAUCUUUUGUCCAUUUGUCCAAGUCUUGAUCGGUGGGCUUGGCUUUCUAAAAAGGUGUGCUACAGGUCAUGAUCACUUGAGAAGUCAUGAUCUAUGUUGUCGUAUCUUUACUUUUGCUUUAAAAAAGAUAGGGGUCCUGUCCUAUCUUCACUAAGAAUUCUCCUAUAUAAAGGAUUCUCCCCUGUUUGUAAGAGAUAGAAGUUUGAAGCAAUAAACCUGCUGUACGGCCAAGGCGGAUGUGCGGUACAGCAGAUUAUUUUACAAAAAGUUUUAUCUUUUUUUUUCCCCUCAAGCAGCAACACGCUUAUUAACAAAAUGAGAGAGAAAAAAAUUGAAUUACUUCAUCUAUCAUAGUUUCUACAACUCAGCCAUAAAAUUUUCAUAUAUUGUUUUUAAUUUUUUAAAUAUCGUCGAACACGGCUCUCAUCACAGCAAUAAGGAUUCAAAUUUUUUUUUUUUGGGUAAUUUCAGAAUCUUUACAAACCCUGGAUCUCAAACAUCAAAUCUAUUCAACCAAUAAACGAGCGAUUGGGUGCGAGAGGACUCACCGCAACGUGUCCGGCGUGGCGUUUGGCUUUGGGAGAGGAGGAGAACGACACGAGACGACGCGCGGAGUUUGCUAGGUGCCGAGAUUUGAAUGUAAAGACGACAGUGCUGGUUGUCUCUUGACUUUCUGUGCGUGGAGCACUGCGGGACUGAUCUGGACCGUCGAUUUUAGCCAGAUGAUCGUUUCCUCCGGGUCCCGCUCUCGCCAGGUAGUGUUAGCAAUAGUUAGAGGAUAGCCGUCAGUCACGACUCAUGAGGACGACAUGCCGUUUAAACAGUAGCUAACACUAUAAUCUCACAGAUGAUCUUAUCAUUCAGAUCCCUGAUCUAUUUCUUUUUUAUAAAUUAUAAUCAAAGCACAUAUAGCUUGUCUAAUUGUAUUAAAUAAAUCUGUACGGUUAAUUUUCCACAAAUACCUUUACCGCAUCAUCUUAUAUGUUUUGAACUGAUUACUGAUUAAUAUGUAUUCCGGUGAUUAUAAGAAAUUCAACAAUAUGAUAGGAAUUUCAAGUAAAAUUACAUGCUACAAACUUAGAAUAUAAAGUUUACAUAUUUUAUGAUUAACAACAAAAGCCUAACUGAUAAAUAUCAGGUGAUAAUCAUAUGAUACAGAAUAAUUACAAUAAAUACACCAUUAAUUAGGAUAUAUGCGUGGGUAGAUGAGAUACUCCACCUUGUGUUUGAAGGUUAGUGACUUACCAUCUAAAAAAGGAUUCGAAUAGCAAAUAUUCUUUUACGGAUGCUCGUUGUUGCUUACGACAACAACCAGCUUAAACUUCAUCUGAAAGUUCACAAAUGUUAGGCAACAAAUCAAAAUUAGCUAAUAAAAACACAUAUUACAAAGGACAAUGCGCAUUCAUACAGUUUGGAUUUGGCUCAGAGAACUUUCUUUUAGGUCACGUGGGCAUCAAUUAAGUAUGUCACUCAUCAAUCGGUUAAGUUCUACCAUAUGACAAAUAUGUCCCAUGACGCAAAAACAGCACACAAAAAGCUAGUUUGAUCCAACAACUUUAUUCCCCCCUUUCAACUCUUUUUUUUUUUUUUUUGGUUUUUGUUUUCGUCCAGAAACAAAAAUAAAAUAAAAAUAAAGUCCAAAGAUUCAACUUGUCACUCUCAAAACCCUCGAUCGCUAAGCCCAAUACUUUACCACUUCAAUGGCCUCUCACAAUCACCACCACCACCAUCACCAUCACCAGCAGCAGCUGAACUGCGCUGGAGGCACCACCAACUGUUGCUGCAGCAGCUGUUGCAGCCACCCUUCUCCUCAGCCAACGGAGCCACUUCUCCAAGCCAUUGCCUCUCAACUCUUCCAACAACAACAGCACCAGCAACAGCCAGGAUCUUGUUGCCAAGGCCGGACUCACAUAACUCGUCAAAGUCAAAAUUUUCGCCAAAAAAUUCAAAAUUUUCAUCAUCACCAACAAGAAAAAUUCGUUCUUUCAUCUCUUCUUAGCCGUAUUGAUGCUCUCGAAGCCUCCCUGCAAAACUUUUCUUUAUCCUCCACAUCUUUUUCUUUAAGAGAUAUGGCAGCUCGUGUGAUUCAAACCCAUUUUCGGGCAUUUCUUGUGAGGAGAUCCAGAACCCUUAGGAAGCUCAAAGAGCUUGCUUUGAUCAAAUCUGCCUUCAACUCUCUUAAAUCAUCGGUUUCCAACAAAACGCAUUUUGAUUUUCAUGUUGUUUCUCAGAAAGCCUUGGACUUGCUUCUCAUACUUGACUCUCUUCAGGUAUAUGAAUGAUGGGCAUUGCUUAGUUUGUUAAGUUCUUGUGCUUUAUUUUGUUGGCCUUUUUAUGAGUGGAUUUGUUUGCAGGGUGGUGAUCCAAUGAUCAGAGAUGGGAAAAGGUCGGUAAGCAAAGAUUUGAUUAAGUUUUUGGAGUUUGUUGAUGGGUUUGUUGCGAAAAGGCAUGAAAUUUCAACUAAAGCCGCAAAGAAUGUCAGAUUUGUUGGGAAUAGUAUUAAACCUAGGGAUUUUAGGACUAAUGGAGGAUAUUUGAGUGGGGAUCAGGCUGAAGUAAUGAGCAAGGUGAGGGACAGAAUUGAAAAGAUACAUGCGUUUUCGAGGGUUAUUAAAAGUGAGGAUGAAGAUGUGGAGCUCGAAAGUUUUCAUGAAGAUAGCAUUAUCAUUGAAAGAUAAUGCAUUAUGUUAUUUCCUAUUUGUAUUUUUCUUUCCUUCCCUUAGAAAGAUAGCAUUAUCAUUGACUUGACUGAGAGUUGAAGACAAUAUAAAUAAGCAUGGAUUCCAUUAAACAAACUCUGAUCAAUCACUCGUCAAAAUUCGUUGGCUAAUAAAUCUCUUUUUCCCCAACUGCAAUCUACGUAUAAAAUGUAAGUAACAAGACUAAAAAAGCGGAAAAAAAAACGCUUAUUCUCUUUGUGUUAAUUUCUAUCUUUCUUUGUUUACGUAUAAUUACGUGCUGUGCAUGAGUAGUCCAUCGAGACCUAUGCUUCUUUUUUUUUCCUUUCUUUCUUUUUGAAGAAUUCAUGUUAUAUGUUAAUGAGAUAACAGAUGAUUUGUAGUUUCCAUUGUUUGUUUUUGUGCAACGUUUUUUUAUAUAAUUACGUAUGAAAAGUGGUUCAAUUGUUUGUUUAAUUCUUGCAGGCAUUCAUAAAAAUUUAGCUUUAAAUAAUUACGAUGACAAUAAUAGCAAUGAUAAUGGUGGCAGUACUUGUUCCCAUACUUACUCUCUGUUUUAUAAUUUGAGCAAGAACAAGAUUCAGAAGCACCUUAUGAUCAGGUAUAUAGCUAAUUGCGUACAGUCAUUACAUGUAAAUACUUGUUUUAUUAUUAUUAUUUUGUUGCCACAGAAAAAACACGUGUGUCUUUCUUUUGUGUGAGUAUGAUUAUUUGUUUAUUUAUUAAUAGUAUAAUUUUUACUUGAUGCUCAGACCCCCAGGGAUUAGAUUUCAGCGACAAUAACGUGGGUCAAUAUUCAAAUUAUAAUUACGUAUAAUUACAUGUAAAUACGUUUUUUUUUCAACAAUUCAAAUUAUAAUUAUUAAGACCAAAUUAUACCUAUAAUGAAUACAUGAAUACAAUAUAUAUCAAACGAAUAUAUGAAAGUCGGCUAUUAACUCUAGUGCUUAGAAGAUUCAAGAUUAAGAUCAAACAAAGAAAGAAACAGAAGCAAUAUUGAUAUAGUUAUUUUUAAUUAUUUUUUUAGUAUUGUCUUCAUAAAGUGGAAUCCUUAACCUUAUUUUUCCAUUUCAGGAAAGUAAAAAUAUAGGCAAUUCCACGUAACUUAACGUCUGGCGAAUAUAAUUAUUUUUAAUUUUGUCUUGGUGCUUUAAGGAAAGCGGAAUCCUUAAUAUUUUUUUUAAUUUUGGAAAACCAAAGUUUGAUUAAAAAAACUGACGAAAGCCUUCCUAUUUUCCUAAUUUCCUUACGAGAGGUACAAUUGAACAAAAUAAAUCAAACAAGCCUUCCUAUUUUCCUAAGCCUGCCAGGUACAAUUUCCCAGCACGCGGCCUAAGAUAUCACGAAUCAAAAUUAAUUAUGCCAAGAAUACGGGAAUACAAUAAUAUCAAACAAGAUGUAACCUGAUAAACCAACACAUCUAACAAGGAAUAACAGUUAAAAUAACAGAUUUGCGCUACAUCAAGACCAGCAUUUUAUAACNNNNNNNNNNNNNNNNNNNNNNNNNNNNNNNNNNNNNNNNNNNNNNNNNNNNNNNNNNNNNNNNNNNNNNNNNNNNNNNNNNNNNNNNNNNNNNNNNNNNGAAAGGAGUUGGGAAGAAGUUGUUAAUAAUAAGAUUAUUGAAAAAAAUAGGUAAAAGAAAUAUCCUGUAAAUAUUUAAUGUAAUUGCUAAGUUAAAAGCUAAGAUGAGUAGCGGAUCUUCGUUCAAUAAUUUUCGUUAAAUUUCUCUCUUAUUUUGUUCUAUAAUAUAUAUUGUAAUUACCUUUUCCAAUGGAAUUUUAAAAUAGAUUGAAAGCUGGUCUUUGGAAGGAGGGGAGAUUAAAAAAAUUACAGUGCCGCAAAAGAAGACCAAUAAAGAGGCUUGGGUUUUACUAACGUUCGGUUAUCCCAAGUAAUUUUUAUUUCUCUCUCUCUUUCUCUCUCUAUACAUACAUACGUACAUAUAUAUAUAUAUAUAUAUAUAUAUGCACUUUAUAUAUAUAUAUAUGCACUUUUUUUCCUUUUUUUUAUUAAAUAUAAUGAAGCAUUCAGUCUUGUAUUAGUUUAAAUUUAUAAGAUUAAAUUUCCUAUAUAAAGGGUUAAGACUGGAGCAACCUUGGCGCACGAAAUGAUGCAUUCGUGGUUCUAUAGUAACGGUCUUAGAGGUAAGUUAAUUUGUCAUUUAGAAAAAAAGACCUUAAUUUUGCUUAAUCUUUGAUUAAGGUUUUAAGCUGGGAAUCUAUUAAGUGUACGUCUCGCAUCAUCAUCAUCAUCAUUUGUUUCUGAUAAAUAACUGUGUAAUAACGCAGGUACUAGAAAAUUGAAAAAAAAUGUGGAAGAGGGAAUUUGCCAGGUGAUGUCCGUUAGAUGGACUGAUUGGUACAUAGCUAAUAAAUAUGAUAGUGAUGAUCAAUUUGUUCAAAAAUUAAUACCAUUUUAUCAAGCUUGUCUGGCACAGACGGAUGGGUACAAAGAAGCUUGGGAUGUAGUUCAGAAACAUGGCUUAAUGCCUACGUUGAAACAACUUGUCAAAACUAGAAAAUACCCCAAGCGUUAGGCUCUUGCAGUUGUGAGACAGACAAUAACUGAUUAUAAUUUUAUGUAGUAACUUUCCUUUAGUCUUCCCGUCACCAUUUCUUUAAUUUCAAUUUUUUUUUUCCCCAAGACCUGAGACACAGCUAGAGUGCAAGGGCGGGUUUUUGGGUCACCAUUGCAAUUUCAUAGAAGCAUCACAACAGAAGAUGCGUACUUCUGGGGAAAAAAAGAUAAAAAAAUAAAACCAAUUCUCAAGGAUACAUGUUUCUGCAUUUCACCACUAGAAAUUACAAAUUACAGACGGGUUUGGUUCUAUACAAUAAGUUUUUUGAAGUAACUGUUGUCAUAAAUACACUCAAAUCUGAAAGUAGCAGCUCUACAGCAAUUCAAGGAACAUACAUAUGAAGGCACGAGCUUCAGUAAUCAGGAAUGGAAGCAAAGCGGUAUCCUUCAGCACCCCUCCAGGAGUAAUAUGCUAUCCUGGUCUCAUAGAAGCCUACAACAAUAAGAGCAAUGUCGUCUUUGUUAGCACAAAUCCCCAAAAAUGUCGCUUUCAUUGUGUAAAGUCAUAACUUCACGAAAUUACAGUGCCGCAUAAUCAAUCAUACAGAAAUUGAACAAAGCAAGAAACAGACAGCAAAGCUUCACACUUUGUUCUGUAGUCUGUUACAGAGAACAUUGAUAAAUUAAAGGUGUAUUUCACAAGAUAGCAGCAAAUCAAACUCCAAAGAAGCCACAUCCAUGUAGACCAGUUUCAGAAAUAAGAAGGAAAACUAAUAACAGAAGACAACUCCAUGUAUUUGACUAUUUUGGAGGUUUUUGCAGAUACAUUUUACUAGAUCUUUCUGUAGAGCCUUGCUCCAGCUUCCGAAAUUGGAAUCUCAUCAUUGCCAGUUCCAAUCCAAAAACUGGUUCAAACUCAUAAGAAAAACCAAGAUUCUUAGGAGCGUAAGAACACAUUUUAAGCACCUUGAAAAAUAGAAGGGAUUCCAAACAGUUUCAAGGUACUAAAUCGACAAUAAAAUUGACAGCAAACAUAGUGGAGAAAAGCUGCACAAUGUUUACCAAUACAUCAAGUGAUGGUGGUCUAACAGCACUUGUCUCAACUCUCAAGAGCUACAAAUUGUGUUAGGUGAUAAAGCAUUAAAUUGAAGAGGCUAACCUCAGUAAUACACUUAAUCUGAAACAAAAGUUCAAUGUUUCAAGCAACAAAGGCAGUAGGACGUGGUUUGCAAGCACAAGGAGUAACUGCACAAUAUGUGUUUGAUUUCAUCUUUCAAAGAAUUAAGGUACCCACAAUAAGCUAAUUUUUCAGUGCUUUCCAGGUUCAAAACACUUUAGAAGGUGGGACAACCAAAAUACCGGUAAAUUUUUGCUUCAGAGCUCUGCUAAAAUUUACAAUAGCCAAAACAUGUGGCCUAGAUCACAAAAAAAAAAAAAUAAUAAAAUAAAAUCUGAGAAAAUACAGGAAUACAAUAUAUGUCACAAUGAAUAUCAGCCAUUGUCGUUUGAAAAGAAUCAAAGUUCAAGAGUAGAACUCAAGACCAGCAUCUUAGAAUUGAUUACUCUACAAUUAAUUUAUUAGGCAUUUCGGUUAUGACAAAAAUGCCGCGACGUACCUGGGAGGAACGCAAGGAUUCCAAGGACGAGCAGACCAAAAGCUUGGGCCGUCUCUCCACCCAUGUGACCAGUGAAGAUGAACAAGGAAAGAAAGAGAAGCAACAAUCCAAGACAAAGCAAGAAAAGGGCAAGAGCAAUGGACUUCCAUGGGAUCUUAUCAAAGGCUUUUGGGGAAUAAUCAAAUCUAGGAUCGUAACGUCGACUCCUACUACCAUCAUAUUCAUCAUCGUCAUCAGUUGAAAGUCUGCUGUAUUGAACAUUGCGCCGAGACGCCAUAUAUGCAAACGAAGUGCACGCCAAACUCUUCAAGCGUUCAAUCUCAAAUCACACAAACAAACAAAUUUCAACUAUGAUGUAAUUAUUAUUUUACAAAAAGUUUUAUCUUUUUUUUUCCCCUCAAGCAGCAACACGCUUAUUAACAAAAUGAGAGAGAAAAAAAUUGAAUUACUUCAUCUAUAUCAUAGUUUCUACAACUCAGCCAUAAAAUUUUCAUAUAUUGUUUUUAAUUUUUUAAAUAUCGUCGAACACGGCUCUCAUCACAGCAAUAAGGAUUCAAAUUUUUUUUUUUUUGGGUAAUUUCAGAAUCUUUACAAACCCUGGAUCUCAAACAUCAAAUCUAUUCAACCAAUAAACGAGCGAUUGGGUGCGAGAGGACUCACCGCAACGUGUCCGGCGUGGCGUUUGGCUUUGGGAGAGGAGGAGAACGACACGAGACGACGCGCGGAGUUUGCUAGGUGCCGAGAUUUGAAUGUAAAGACGACAGUGCUGGUUGUCUCUUGACUUUCUGUGCGUGGAGCACUGCGGGACUGAUCUGGACCGUCGAUUUUAGCCAGAUGAUCGUUUCCUCCGGGUCCCGCUCUCGCCAGGUAGUGUUAGCAAUAGUUAGAGGAUAGCCGUCAGUCACGACUCAUGAGGACGACAUGCCGUUUAAACAGUAGCUAACACUAUAAUCUCACAGAUGAUCUUAUCAUUCAGAUCCCUGAUCUAUUUCUUUUUUAUAAAUUAUAAUCAAAGCACAUAUAGCUUGUCUAAUUGUAUUAAAUAAAUCUGUACGGUUAAUUUUCCACAAAUACCUUUACCGCAUCAUCUUAUAUGUUUUGAACUGAUUACUGAUUAAUAUGUAUUCCGGUGAUUAUAAGAAAUUCAACAAUAUGAUAGGAAUUUCAAGUAAAAUUACAUGCUACAAACUUAGAAUAUAAAGUUUACAU
rnacentral:lncRNA from 1 species